rnacentral:ncRNA from 1 species
GAUGAUAAAGGCAAACCCUGAGCGAUCAGGGGACGCAAAGAAAAGGGUCUUUCAUCACACAGGGAGGUGUGGAAGGAACAGAAAAGUUCUUUGGAAUAAUUUAGGGAAGUAGUUGAGAAAGAUAGCCUUGCUGCCGAAG